UUCUCAGCAGAUGGUGCUCUGGUCCCUUAGAAAAGUGAAGGGAACUUCUUGACUUUUCUAUGCAGAGCUUGCAUCUUCCUGAACUUUACCUUCAAUUGCCAGCCGGUUACCCCACAGGCCCCUCUAGAGACUACACCCUUUUUAUUUUCUCCAGAACUACCACCAACCCUUACAGGACAUCAGGACAUCCUGGAAGGGGAAGAGAAGCAAGCUGAAGAGCAAGCCAGCCAGAGAGUGGUAUACCAUGAUGAAGACCCUUGUAAGCUACCCGGAUUCAAGUUUUUACGGAGAAAAACGAAAGUUUUUAAAGAAUGGAAACAUCUUUCUGGGCCUAACAGUUA